UACUCGCGGAAAGCUGCAGGGAUACUCC
rnacentral:sRNA from 1 species